rnacentral:rRNA from 1 species
CCUACGGGUGGCAGCAGUGGGGAAUAUUGCACAAUGGGGGGAACCCUGAUGCAGCGACGCCGCGUGAGUGAAGAAGUAUUUCGGUAUGUAAAGCUCUAUCAGCAGGGAAGAAAAUGACGGUACCUGACUAAGAAGCCCCGGCUAACUACGUGCCAGCAUCCGCGGUAAUACGUAGGGGGCAAGCGUUAUCCGGACUUACUGGGUGUAAAGGGAGCGCAGACGGCUGUGCAAGUCUGGAGUGAAAGGCGGGGGGCCAACCCCCGGACUGCUCUGGAAACUGUAAAGCGGGAGUGCAGGAGAGGUAAGCGGAAUGCCUAGUGUAGCGGUGAAAUGCGUAGAUAGUAGGAGGAACUCCAGUGGCGAAGGCGGCUUACUGGACUGCAACUGACGUUGAGGCACGAAAGCGUGGGGAGCAAACAGGAUUAGAUACCCCUGUAGUC